rnacentral:rRNA from 1 species
AUGCCGGAGGGGGCGACGGCAUUGGAGAUCCCCUCCGACCGCCCGGUGUUCUUAACCAGCCUGUCCUACGGAGGGGGCCCUCCGGCCGCUACGGCGGUCUUCCUCCCCCGGGAGACGCUCACGGUCACAGGACCCCCGGCCACAAUCAGUGUGUACGUCAACUUCGUCCUCGACCCCGAGCUGGAGCACUACUGGCGGCGCCUCGCGUACGCCUACAUCACCCCACCGGAGGCCCCGUGCCGCGCCGACCCGGGGCCCUUCAUCCGCCGCGUCUUCCGCACCCUCGCCCUCGACCUGCCGCAGAACUUCGAGCUCCUCCCUCCCGAACACGGCGCCGACAUGGCUGUGCGCUUCCGCACGCCCGACUUCCGGGAGGCGGCCCUGCUGCGGCAGCCGUUCGUGCUCGACGGCGUCACCGUGAAGCUCCUGCGCGACGGGGAGACCCCCGACACCAUCUGGGUGUCGUCCGACUACCUCGUCCACGCCGCCCUGCGCGAUUACCCCGUUGAGCAGCGCACAGAGGAGGGGAUCAGGUGGAAUUGCUGCAGAUUCGGGUACGUGCGCGAGAUCGACCCGGCCUGCUUCGCGGCGCCCGACCUCGCCACCGUCCGCGUCGUCCUUGAGCUGGAGCACCCUCGAGAGAUCCCCCACGAGCUCCGAAUUGACUACAAUGAAGAUGAUGGCCCCACCAGUGUCGUCCCCGUCGAGAUCGUCAGUGUCUGGCAUCACUCACACUCCUACGACGCCAAUGGACAGUACGUGCCUCUCUUCCAUCCCCCGGUUGCGGCUGCUUGA